rfam:Cajanus cajan Scaffold134980_21, whole genome shotgun sequence.
AAUAGGAACGGAUGUUGGGACGGCUCAAUCAAAUCAAAUCUCCUAAUGACUGGGUCCUUUGGAUGAUUGAGCCGUGCCAAUAUCAAUUCCUUCUAA